AUGGACUUUAGUGCUAUUGCCUAUUAACAGGCAGAGUGGUAUGCCAGCUCAUGAGAGAAAGCCAGUCUUCUAAGGAAUUGAUUCCUGGACUUACGGCAUCCCUGUUAAAGAACCAAGGAGAAAGAGCUUCCUUUUCCAGUGCCUGCCUCCAUUCACCUUCCAUGACAAGACAAGCAUUGCCUUUGGGAAGCUGCCAAGAUUCUGGGGUGGGACCUGAACCCUUGGCCUCCCAGACAAAGGAAUGACUCUGUUCUCAAUCACUCUGCAAAGAGUUUCCACUGCCUUCACCAGGGGGAGUGACAAUCCCCAUGGCUGCAGAGACAUGGUCUUAACUCCUGAGAAUGCUGAAAGAUGAUUUCAAGUGAAAAAACAAAGACAUUUCACCAAUCUCUCCAGGCCAUAAUAUUUGUCUUUAUAAAGUUCAGCUGUAUACUUAUUGCUCAGUUAAUCACUGGCUUCAUGCAGAAGCUUAGUUCAAUCUCUUACAGUGCAUUUUAUCAACAUGGAUGGGGUAGCAGGAGGAGAU